UACGUAGGGUGCGAGCGUUGUCCGGAAUUAUUGGGCGUAAAGAGCUUGUAGGCGGUUUGUCGCGUCUGCUGUGAAAAUCCGGGGCUCAACCCCGGACUUGCAGUGGGUACGGGCAGACUAGAGUGUGGUAGGGGAGACUGGAAUUCCUGGUGUAGCGGUGAAAUGCGCAGAUAUCAGGAGGAACACCGAUGGCGAAGGCAGGUCUCUGGGCCACUACUGA
rnacentral:rRNA from 1 species